rnacentral:lncRNA from 1 species
UCUCCAGGGCUGGAAUACAGAUGUGAGCAGGACCAUUCCUGGCCUCCCGGCUCUGAGGAGGCGAAGCGCAGGCCCACAGCUGUGCGGCAGGAGCCACCCUCACAGCAGAGCCGGUGUAGACGCUUGAACGGCUCCUGCAGACACUCCCCUCUCCCCCUCUUAAAAAAACAAAUGCCCUGGCCUCCAUAGCCCCCAACAUACCUGCUUGUGCCCUCCUCUCUCCACUGGUAUCACAAACAGAAACAUCAAUCUGCCUUUGUUUUGCCAGAGGGGCAAGGCUGUGGAACCCCAGAAGACAGGCCUCUGAGAGGACCCGGGUCACCCGGACCUGGACUCAAAUCCCAUCCCUGUACCUCUCCUUGGAUGAACCAUCGAACACUGAGCUUCCAUUUUGCAUCUUCCAACUGCACAGAGAAGCUGGAGUGCGGUGGCACGAUCUCGGCUCACUGCAACCUCUGCCUCUCGAGUUCAAGUGAUUCUCCUGCCUCAGCCUCCCGAGUAGCUGGGACUACAGGUGCGCACCACCACAGUGGGCAGUAAAGGAGUGAGACCCCGAGCAGGGAGAGAGGUGAAAGGAGAAGCAGGAGAAAGCUCAGUCAGGCACGAGAGCACUGGCAAUACUGUAAAGACUGGAAACGGCCACUGACUGUGCAGGGGGAGGUCCCUGGUGACUCUGCCCCAACCAGCCUGGCAGAAGUGGAAGCGGCUGCAAUGGCGACUGAUGUGUGUUUCUGGAACAUGUAGCCCCUGCCCUGUGCCUGAGGUAAGGAAUACGACUUAGCCAUGAAAAGACAAAAAGAAGAAAGGGGUAUUUUCCUACACCCAUACAAUUCAAGAAUCUCUGCAGGAGAAAAAAAAAAUCCAUACACAUACCAAAAGCAAUUUUUCCCUAAUAAAGAACAUAAUUUGCACAGAUGAGUUGAUAAGUUGGCCAAUCGCACAUGGAUAAGUGCUGACUUAAAGUUACACAGGUAUCUUAGUUACCUUGACCCAGGAAGUCAGGGCCUUUAAGGAAGCCACACUCCACUGCUGUCUCCACAGCCAGAAUCGAGUCCCCAGCACUUCCCCCACUUCACUGAGUGCCAGCCCCUGCAGAAUGCCGCAGCCCUCCCCCAGGCUGAGAAACCCUGGCCUGGGGCUACGUUUCCAGCUGCGCUGGGAUGAAGAAACUUCAUGGGUCAGGACAUCUUCUUGUCUUAGAUUCUCACUCAAACCAAUGUGUGGCUAAUUAAGGCAGUCUAGACUCACAGAGUUUUACCACAGGAUUAAAAUAAUAUCAUACAUGUGUUUUCGCCACAUAAAUCAGAUUUUAGGAAAACUUUCCCAGCUGCAACUACUGAAAAUACACAAGAAGUAACUGAUGACUUAGCCCAUAAGAAGUUAACCAGCUCAUCCCUUUGAUUCCUGUGCAACACUCACCUUGAGAUGUUUUUAACUACUAGAAAUAAGUAAGCUUGGUUUGUUGUUGUUGUUGUUGUUGUUGUUGUUGUUGUUGUUUUGAGACAGAGUCUGGCUCUGACGCCCAGGCUGGAGUGCAGUGGCGCAAUCUCAGCUCACUGCAAGCUCCGCCUCCCGGGUUCACACCAUUCUCCUGCCUCAGCCUCCUGAGUAGCUGGGACUACAGGCGCCCGCCACCACGCCCGGCUAAUUUUUUUUUGUAUUUUUAGUAGAGACGGGGUUUCACUGUGUUAGCCAGGAUGGUCUCGAUCGCCUGACCUCAUGAUCCACCCGCCUCAGCCUCCCAAAGUGCUGGGAUUACAGGUGUGAGCCACCGCGCCCAGCCGUAAGCUUGUUUUAACAUGUGAAGUUGAUGGACACUAACUUUCCCAAGGAUUCCGGAACUUGAAAACUGUUUAGGUAUCUGGUCCUUCUUCACUGCCACCUGAGAAGGCUUGUGGAGGCUGCACUGCGGAGAAGCAGCUUCACACUCCUGGCAGCUGGGGGCUCCGUUCCUGCUCCCAGGCCGCAGCACCUUCACCAACCUGGGUGGGAGGCCGAAUCCUCAGCUUAGCCAGGUUUCUGUGCUUCUCAGACACGACCAGAGGCCCCAUUCCGACUUGAGCUACGUGUGUGGCAAUGAAUCAUCCUGACAGUACUGUCAGUGUGACUGAACACGUCUAGCUUGGUGGCACACAACUGAACAAGUAGAAAUGAACAGCAAGCUGCGGUGUGUCAGGACAAGCUCUAGCACUUGAAUUAGACAAAGGCUGGGGCGGAAGGGUGUUGGAGGAAGUCUCUUUUUUCAUUCA